rnacentral:rRNA from 1 species
UACGGAGGGGGCUAGCGUUGUUCGGAAUUACUGGGCGUAAAGCGCACGUAGGCGGAUCAGCAAGUUAGGGGUGAAAUCCCGGGGCCCAACCCCGGAACUGCCUUUAAAACUGUUGGUCUGGAGGUCGAGAGAGGUGAGUGGAAUUCCGAGUGUAGAGGUGAAAUUCGUAGAUAUUCGGAGGAACACCAGUGGCGAAGGCGGCUCACUGGCUCGAUACUGACGCUGAGGUGCGAAAGCGUGGGGAGCAAACAGG